UAUGGGAAUUUAAUUAGGAGCAACGAUGAUUUAAAAAAAAAUGAUUCUAUAGAUUUUGAUGUUAUUCAUGUCAUUUCUUUUUACUAUUUUUCGUAUGCCUAGACUUUUGUGCACACUUGUAUACUAAACACACAUACUUAAGCAUCAUUCAUACAUAUGCAUACUCAUAGUGAUGCACAAAUUGUGCAUUUAUAUUAAACAUAU
rnacentral:lncRNA from 1 species